rnacentral:lncRNA from 1 species
UUGGCACCACCUAUCUAACUCAGAUGGGUUAUUGAUCGUGAGAUGUUGUGGUAGAGCCGUAGACUGACCUUGAGCUUGUGGCUGAUGUUGAGAUUGAAUUGGAGCUUGGGGCUGACCUUGAGGUUGUGACUGAGCUUGAGGCUGAGAUGGUUGUGCAGUUGAGGCAGGAGUGGAAGCUUGAGAUUGGAGAGUUUGCAGAAUAAUGUUGAGAGUUGCUUGGCUAGCUGACAUCCCCCCCGUUACUUGAGUCUUGAAAGCAUUGAUUUCUGCCUUCAAAGCACUGAAAUCUUCCUUGACUCCAGCAAUGUCUUCCUUGACUUCAGAAAUGGUGGUCUCAAAGCCAGACAUGCGCAUAUCAACGUCUAGGUUGCGCUGCAGUGAGACAGGAAUUGGCACAGAUGGACUGCUGUUCUUGUACUGAACACUGCCAAGGCCGUAGAUUGUACCCUUUUUUGUCUUUC